rnacentral:rRNA from 1 species
GAUGAAUGCUGGCGGCGUGCCUAAUACAUGCAAGUCGAGCUAACGGACGAGAAGCUUGCUUCUCUGAUGUUAGCGGCGGACGGGUGAGUAACGCGUGGAUAACCUACCUAUAAGACUGGGAUAACUUCGGGAAACCGGAGCUAAUACCGGAUAAUAUUUUGAACCGCAUGGUUCAAAAGUGAAAGACGGUCUUGCUGUCACUUAUAGAUGGAUCCGCGCUGCAUUAGCUAGUUGGUAAGGUAACGGCUUACCAAGGCAACGAUGCAUAGCCGACCUGAGAGGGUGAUCGGCCACACUGGAACUGAGACACGGUCCAGACUCCUACGGGAGGCAGCAGUAGGGAAUCUUCCGCAAUGGGCGAAAGCCUGACGGAGCAACGCCGCGUGAGUGAUGAAGGUCUUCGGAUCGUAAAACUCUGUUAUUAGGGAAGAACAUAUGUGUAAGUAACUGUGCACAUCUUGACGGUACCUAAUCAGAAAGCCACGGCUAACUACGUG